ACUCAAAUGAAUUGACGGGGACCCGCACAAGCAGUGGAGUAUGUGGUUUAAUUCGAAGCAACGCGAAGAACCUUACCAGGUCUUGACAUCCCCCUGACCGGUCUAGAGAUAGGCCUUUCCUUCGGGACAGGGGAGACAGGUGGUGCAUGGUUGUCGUCAGCUCGUGUCGUGAGAUGUUGGGUUAAGUCCCGCAACGAGCGCAACCCUUGAUGCUAGUUGCCAGCGAGUAAAGUCGGGCACUCUAGGAUGACUGCCGGUGACAAACCGGAGGAAGGUGGGGAUGACGUCAAAUCAUCAUGCCCCUUAUGACCUGGGCUACACACGUACUACAAUGGCCGUUACAGAGGGAAGCGAGGCCGCGAGGCGGAGCGAAUCUCAGAAAGGCGGUCUCAGUUCGGAUUGCAGGCUGCAACUCGCCUGCAUGAAGUCGGAAUUGCUAGUAAUCGCGGAUCAGCAUGCCGCGGUGAAUACGUUCCCGGGUCUUGCACACACCGCCCGU
rnacentral:rRNA from 1 species